GGCGCGGGUAGGGCCGGGGGGCCAGCCGUCCCCUGAACCCGAAACCGGCUACACGCGGGGGCCAGUAACCCGCGGGUAAACCCCGUUCAUCGGACCUGCACCGGGGAUUGCCGCCGGAUGAUCCUGCGCCGCCGCGGCAACCCGCCAGCAGGCCCUGUGCUCGAAGGGGCACAGGGACCUGCGGACCGCCGAACCGGGUUAGGCCCGGGAGGGAGCGGCCCUAAGGCGGGGCGGGGUGCGUGCGGCGUCGCGUAGGGUACGGUGGUCCCGCGAUGGAUCCGGUGAGCGGGCUGAACCGCGGGAUCCGCGCC
rnacentral:SRP_RNA from 1 species